UCCCCAACUAUGUGGGUCAGAGACACCAGAGCCCCAGAUCUGUGGGUCCCAGAGGUCUGUGUCCCCACAUAUAUGGGUGUCAGACACCUCUGUCCCCACAUAUGUGGGUCAGAGACACCUGGGUCCCCAGAUCUGUGGGUCCCAGCCCCCUGACCCCCCCCACAUGUGGGUCAGAGACACCAGAGCCCCAAAUAUAUGGGUCCCAGAGUCCCAUGUCCCCACAUAUGUGGGUCUGUAGUGUCUGUGUCCCCAGAUCUGUGGGUCCCAGACCUCUGAGCCCCCACACAUGUGGGUCAGAGACACCGGAGCCCCCAGAUCUGUGGGUCCCAGAGGUCCGUGUCCCCAAAUCUGUGGGUCCCAGUCUCCCAGGUCCCCAAAUAUGUGGGUCUGGAGUGUCUGUGUCCCCACAUCUGUGGGUCCCAGCGGCCUGUGUCCCAAAUAUGUGGGUCCCAGCCCCCUGACUCCCCACACAUGUGGGUCAGAGACACCAAAGCCCCACAUCUGUGGGUCUGAAGUGUCCAUGUCCCCAAAUCUGUGGGUCCUGGAGUCCUGUGUCCCCAAAUCUGUGGGUCUCAGGCAUCUCUGUCCCCACAUAUGUGGGUCCUGGCCUCCCGACUCCCCACACAUGUGGGUCAGAGACACUAGAGCCCCAAAUAUGUGGGUCUGGGUCCCCAGAUCUGUGGGUCA
rnacentral:lncRNA from 1 species